CGCUUCCGGUUGCUCACUUCCGCUUCCGACUCUGACCGGGGUUCCGCCUUCGAGAGGGGAUUGUGGCGUCGGCGGAUUCCAAGCGUUUCGAGCUCCAGACAGGAUGAUCGAGGUUGUUUGCAACGACCGUCUUGGGAAGAAGGUCCGCGUUAAGUGCAACACUGAUGACACCAUCGGGGACCUUAAGAAGCUAAUCGCAGCCCAAACUGGCACCCGUUGGAACAAGAUCGUCCUGAAGAAGUGGUACACGAUUUUUAAGGACCAUGUGUCCCUGGGGGACUAUGAAAUCCACGAUGGGAUGAACCUGGAGCUUUAUUACCAAUAGAGCAGAAUUCCUUCCUGCUGACCAUCCUCCCCUCCUGUUUCCUCUCUGCUCCCACCCUCAUCCCCACACUGGCAGUAGGAGGGAUUUGUGAUGAUGGAACUCCCCUGUCUGGAACUGUGGAUGCAGGACUUUGCAUUUGUCACUCAAGAUGUAGGAGGAAAGAUGGAAUGCAGCCUGUAUUAUAAAUGAAUCACAUGACUACACCUAAAGGGGUGAGGAGAAAGGAGCUGACCCAAACAACUUCGGAAAAAGCAUUUUGACUGGAUACUGUAAGGCUAAAGACAAAAACAAUUAUACACAAACACUGUACUCUAGUUAAAUAAAUUCCUCACAGCAUUGUGA